CCAGUUCUGAACCCUGAAAAUUACAUGUAGAAGUCAGAUAGGUAUUGAAAUAUCCACUUAAGACUUUAAACGACUUAAGCGAGUUUGAAGAAUGAAACUUGGAACUUCUGGCCUUCUCAUGAACUCUUGUCCAUGUGAAGACUGGCGGUUUACUGCAAGACAGAAACUGAGUCUGCAGAGUGAAUAUUCCCCCAGCCAGAAGUGUGACUACAGCCUGCCUCCCCAUAUCAAGUACAAAACAGCAAGAGCCCAGAAGGAGGAGGUCCCAUGAAAGCACGAGCUCUAGCAUGGCUGUCCACCGGAGCAAGGGGGCGCCCUAAUGCUGUAUAUUCUUGCCUUGUACCUCAGGAGCACUGACUGAGGGGAGAAAGUGUUAUUCCCUCCUGGGAAUGACAUCUAAGUCCUUCCUCUUUAAGGAAAACAUGUGGAACUAAGUAGUUAAGUGCCCUCUGCCAAAAGCCAAGGGUUUGUAGGCAGAUGAGAAGAAGCAGGGAGCAUUUCACAUGGAGGGAAGGGCACAAGCAAAGAUCCUGGGGCCUCCAAUAACAAGGAAACCUUGUAGACGAAAUUGGGGGGAUGCAUGAAACUUUUCCCUUGCUUCUGAAACGAUAACUCUGCAUUCGUUCUCGACCACCAUUAAUCAUGCAUAGCUGUGCUCACUGAGGCAAUGUUUUUGACAGCCGAUGGAUGAACAAGAUCUUAUUAGCACUGGUUUCCGUGGUUGAUCACUCAUGGCCAACAUCACACAGAAUUUUCAGCCAGGAUGGGAACGCCCAGCAGCUGGAUGUCCAGCUGCCAAUUCAUCAGUUUGAGAAUCUUUGGAAUGAAUACAGAUCCAGGAGCGAAGAAGACAAGUUCGACUGCCAUUCUCUGAGCAGUUCAAGGCAUACUGACUUGCGGGAGUUGUGUGGUGGUCCACUCUGACUGCAAGCACCCCUUUCUUGAACCGAACAGAGUCAAGUGGAAUCAAAGACAUGAACUUCAAUUUGGUUCCAGAUCGGUGGUCCAGCUAUUCUGCUGACAACAUUUUUCAGGGCAAGGCUUUUGCUACUGGAAUGAUUUAAGGGCGAUCCCUCAGUG
rnacentral:lncRNA from 1 species